GACGAACGCUGGCGGCGUGCUUAACACAUGCAAGUCGAACGAAGUGGCGAACGGGUGAGUAACGCGUAAUCAACCUGCCCUUCAGAGGGGGACAACAGUUGGAAACGACUGCUAAUACCGCAUACUGAAGGAGGGGAUUGCGUCUGCUUAGCUAGUUGGAGGGGUAACGGACCACCAAGGCGAGGAUCAGUAGCCGGUCUGGGAGGGUGGACGGCCACAUGGGGACUGAGACACGGCCCAGACUCCUACGGGAGGCAGCAAGUGGGGAUCUUCCGCAAUGGACGAAAGUCUGACGGAGCAAAGCCGGGUGAGUGAAGAAGGGCCUCGGGUUGGAAAGCUCUGUUAAGCGGGACGCGGUACCGAAAUAAAAAGCCACGGCUAACUACGUGCCAGCAGCCGCGGUAAUAC
rnacentral:rRNA from 1 species